rnacentral:rRNA from 1 species
AGCCUGAUGCAGCGACGCCGCGUGCGGGAUGAAGGCCUUCGGGUUGUAAACCGCUUUCAGGAGGGACGAAAAUGACGGGACCUCCAGAAGAAGGUCCGGCCAACUACCUGCCAGCAGCCGCGGUAAUACGUAGGGGCCAAACGUUGUCCGGAUUUAUUGGGCGUAAAGGGCUCGUAGGCGGUUCAACUAGUCGGUCGUGAAAGCCCGGGGCUCAACCCCGGGACGCCGGUCGAAACUGUUGUGACUUGGGUCCGGUAGAGGUGAGUGGAAUUCUCGGUGUAGCGGUGGAAUGCGCUGAUAUCGAGAGGAACACCAGUGGCGAAGGCGGCUCACUGGGCCGGUACCGACGCUGAGGAGCGAAAGCAUGGGGAGCAAACAGGAUUAGAUACCCUGGUAGUCCAUGCCGUAAACGAUGAACACUAGGUGUGGGGGACUUAUUGACAUCUGCGGUGCCGCAGCUAACUUAUUAAUUGUUCCGCCUGGGGAGUACGGCCGGGAGGUUAAUCCUAGAAGGAUUCGACGGA